GAAAGCGCCCCGGCUGGAUGCGCCUUCCAGGUGCGAUGGGGCCGCUUCCAGGAGCGAGCGGCCGUGCGAGGCCCCGCGCGUUCUCCCUCGUGAGGCGGCCCGCGGGUUAAAGGAACCGCGAGCCGGGGAGCUGAGACUAUGAGCAGUUCGGUGGCGGGGCCGGACUGCUGCGGAGGCCUCGGCAAUAUUGAUUUUAGGCAGGUACUGUCCUAACCCGGCGGCCACG
rnacentral:lncRNA from 1 species